AUGAUCAACGGUGACUUCAAUGUCAUCUACGAGGCCAGGGACAAGAACAACCUAAACCCGAACCGAAGACUCAUGGGAAGAUUCAGAGCGGCACUAGACAGAGCAUAUCUCAAAGAGAUCACAUGCAAGAAUAGGAUGUUUACUUGGACAAACAAACGCCAAGAUCCAACCAUGGUCAUCAUUAACUAG
rnacentral:rRNA from 1 species